rnacentral:lncRNA from 14 species
UGCCAACAUGUUUAAACUGUUGGGAUAAGAGGGUUUUCAGGGAUUCUCAGCUCCCCUGACUGUGAAGCAUUUUGCUUUUUAGGUCCCUGCGAUGUUUCCUCGGUGGCCACGUCUGCAGGAUUGGCAGAAUGAAUUUUAUAAGCAAUUGCUGAAGGAGAAAUUUGGAUCUUUGAUCACACUGGGAAAAGAGUGUCCUGUUCCCAAAAGCCAUAUCCCAGAAGGAGGAGCAGCAUGGGUCAAGGAUCCACAAGAUUUGGAGGAAAGGAAAAUCCCUGCCAGCUUCAGCACAGGCCAUGGUGGUGCCCUGACCCAGGGAUCAUCCUCGGGAGCAUCCCAAACCCUGCACCGCCACUGCUCUGACCUGGCAGAAACCUCGGGGAGC